UACGAAGGGGGCUAGCGUUGCUCGGAAUUACUGGGCGUAAAGGGCGCGUAGGCGGGUCGUUUAGUUAGAGGUGAAAGCCCAGGGCUCAACCCUGGAAUUGCCUUUAAUACUGGCGGCCUUGAGUAUGGCAGAGGUGUGUGGAACUCCGAGUGUAGAGGUGAAAUUCGUAGAUAUUCGGAAAGAACACCAGUGGCGAAGGCGACACACUGGGCCAUUACUGACGCUGAGGCGCGAAAGCGUGGGGAGCAAACAGG
rnacentral:rRNA from 1 species